rnacentral:lncRNA from 1 species
AUGGCUCUGUCAGGGGGCCCUGAGAAGCGGGAUUCCUACGUGUUUUGGCCGCAAGCCAAGGGGACUGGAUGAUCUUGACCGCUGGAAGGCUACCAAGUACCGCCAAUUUCUCCUCUACACUGGGAAAAUCGUGGUGCAAGGUGUACUCCGAGAGGAUACUUUAUGGCCUUCAGCACAGCCAUGUGCAUAAUAGUGUCCCCAGUACUAGCUGUGUUGAAUAUUCAUUAGGCACAUGACCUCCUGAGAUUCUUUGUUGACCAUGGAGAUUCUGUAUGGCCCACGAUUUCUAGUGUACAAUGUACACUCGCUGUUGCACCUUGCAGCCAAUGUCGCUUCUUUUGGAUGCCUUGACAACUUCAGCGCAUUUCCAUUCGAAAGCAAGCUCUUUCAAAUUAAAAGAACGGUAAGAUCUGGGAAAAACCCUCUUGUGCAGGUUGCCAACUGCCUAGAAGAAAACUUAAAAGUUAAAAUCCCAAAUGAGCAGCAAACCACAACCUAGGAAAAGUCUGUCUUCAUACUCGGUGACAGCGAAUGCUGAAAGUCCCCGGCAGCCCCCGGACAUCCAGGACUGGCAGACUGUUGAAUUGGAACCAAUAGCAGGUGCAAGCACAGCGCUAGACCCAAGCAUCCACAUACGAGAAGAGGUCAGUAAGCUGUUCGAGGGCUUUGAGAGGAGGAUGCUGUUGAAGCUGGAAAUGAUGCAGGAGGGCUCCAACAGCAUCCUCACCAGGGUGGAGACCCUCCUGGAGGCCCAGGGGAACAGGCCAGUGGCAGAUGAGGUGGAGAACCUGUUGGAGCAGCCGCUGGAGACCCUGGAGGAGUUUGAACAGUUGUGCCACAGCUUCCAGGCAGAUGCCACAUAGAAGAAAAAGAUUGUGAGAGCGAUUCAUUCAACAUUUUCUUUCCUGAUAUUUUGUGAUGUUUCUCAUGACAGGUCUUUUGAUUUUUUACAGAUUCAGUACUUGAGUCUGCAGGCUCGGGUGAGCCUCGGAGACGGAGUGAGGAGAAUGCUGAGAAAUAUCGACAGCAAUGGACUGUGGGGCCACUACAGUUACAAGGGGAGAAAGGGAAACAGCCAUUUCAGGCGCUGCCCAUAAACCAGGCGUUGAUAACUAAGUGAUAUUUACAUAAACC